UACGUAGGGGGCGAGCGUUGUCCGGAUUUAUUGGGCGUAAAAGGCUUGUAGGUGGCCACGUCAAGUCGGCUGUGAAAUCUCCCGGCUCAACUGGGAGAGGUCCUUGCAUACUGGCGGACUUGAGGGGGGUAGAGGAAAGUGGAAUUCCCGGUGUAGUGGUGAUAUGCGUAGAUAUCGGGAGGAACACCUGUGGCGAAGGCGGCUUUCUGGGCCCUACCUGACGCUGAGACGCGAAAGCGUGGGGAGCGAACCGG
rnacentral:rRNA from 1 species